rnacentral:rRNA from 1 species
UAAGCGGAGGNAAAGAAACUAACAAGGAUUCCCCUAGUAACUGCGAGUGAAGCGGGAAAAGCUCAAAUUUAAAAUCUGGUGGUCUUUGGCCGUCCGAGUUGUAAUUUAGAGAAGCGUCUUCCGCGCUGGACCGUGCACAAGUCUCCUGGAAUGGAGCGUCAUAGAGGGUGAGAAUCCCGUCUUUGGCACGGACACACCAGGGCUUUUGUGAUGCGCUCUCGAAGAGUCGAGUUGUUUGGGAAUGCAGCUCAAAAUGGGUGGUGAACUCCAUCUAAAGCUAAAUAUUGGCGAGAGACCGAUAGCGAACAAGUACCGUGAGGGAAAGAUGAAAAGCACUUUGGAAAGAGAGUGAAACAGUACGUGAAAUUGUUGAAAGGGAAACGCUUGAAGUCAGUCGCGUCGACCGAGACUCAGCCUUGCCUUGGCUUGGUGUACUUCUUGGCUGACGGGUCAGCAUCAAUUUUGCCCCUUGGAUAAUGGUGAGGGAAAUGUGACACCUUUACGGUGUGUUAUAGUCUCUUGUCGCAUGCAAGGGUCGGGAUUGAGGAACUCAGCACGCGCCCUUGGGCGUCGGGGCUUUUGCCCACGAUACGUGCUUAGGAUGUUGGCAUAAUGGCUUUAAACGACC